AUCAAAUUACAAUUGCACUGAAAAUAUUUCCAACCCACAAUCGAAUUGCUUACAUUAAUCAUUAUAACCUAAUCAAUUAUUGUUCCAAAAGCACGUUCAUUUUCAAUGAACAAAAAUAAAUAACAAUAUAUAUUUAUGUAGAGAAAACGAUUUACUUUUAUUUUUCAACUCAAAGUCAGUAUUGAAAGGCAGUUUCCACCACAAAAUGGCAAAACUAACAGUAAUUGCAUUCCUUAUCGUGGUGCUGGCCAUGAGCACGGCUGUUUUCGCUCUCCCAAUGGACAGUGGAAUACGAUCAGUUAGUAAUUUGUUCGAAAGUUUACCAUUAAUAAGUCAACAACAUAGUGGAUGCGGUUGUGGCGGUGGCGGUCAUUUACGGAUGUAGUCAAAAACGAAAAAAAGUGUGUCAGCUUUAUUUCAAAACUAAAUAAAACAAAAACAAGUGAAACAUAAUAA